rnacentral:rRNA from 1 species
CCUACGGGAGGCAGCAGUAAGGAAUAUUGGUCAAUGGGCGGAAGCCUGAACCAGCCAUGCCGCGUGCAGGAAGACGGCCCUACGGGUUGUAAACUGCUUUUGCAGGGGAAUAAACCUUCGUAUGUAUACGAAGCUGAAUGUACUCUGAGAAUAAGGAUCGGCUAACUCCGUGCCAGCAGCCGCGGUAAUACGGAGGAUCCAAGCGUUAUCCGGAUUUAUUGGGUUUAAAGGGUGCGUAGGCGGCCAAUUAAGUCAGGGGUGAAAGACGGUAGCUUAACUAUCGCAGUGCCUUUGAUACUGAUUGGCUUGAAUGGACUAGAGGUAGGCGGAAUGUGACAAGUAGCGGUGAAAUGCAUAGAUAUGUCACAGAACACCAAUUGCGAAGGCAGCUUACUAUGGUUUAAUUGACGCUGAGGCACGAAAGCGUGGGGAUCGAAACAGGAUUAGAUACCCUGGUAGUCCACGCCCUAAACGAUGAACACUCGAUGUUAGCGAUAUACUAGUAGUCGUCUAGACGAAGACGUAGUAGUUCUACGUGGAGUACGCCGCGAGGAGAACGUACGAAGAGAGUAGACGCGUGAGAGUAGCGACGACGACGACGAGGGAGGAGG